ACGAAGGGUGCAAGCGUUACUCGGAAUUACUGGGCGUAAAGGGUGCGUAGGUGGUUUUUUAAGUCUGCUGUGAAAUCCCCGGGCUCAACCUGGGAAUGGCAGUGGAUACUGGAAAGCUAGAGUGCGGUAGAGGGUAGUGGAAUUCCCGGUGUAGCAGUGAAAUGCGUAGAGAUCGGGAGGAACACCAGUGGCGAAGGCGGCUUACUGGACACAUAUUGACGCUGAGGUGCGAAAGCGUGGGGAGCAAACAGGA
rnacentral:rRNA from 1 species